UGAGUGGCGGACGGGUGAGUAAUGUCUGGGAAYCUGCCUGAUGGAGGGGGAUAACUAYUGGAAACGGUAGCUAAUACCGCAUAACGUCGCAAGACCAAAGAGGGGGAYCUUAGGGCCUCUUGCCAUCGGAUGWGCCCAGAUGGGAUUAGCUAGUAGGUGGGGUAACGGCUCACCUAGGCGACGAUCCCUAGCUGGUCUGAGAGGAUGACCAGCCACACUGGAACUGAGACACGGUCCAGACUCCUACGGGAGGCAGCAGUGGGGAAUAUUGCACAAUGGGCGCAAGCCUGAUGCAGCCAUGCCGCGUGUAUGAAGAAGGYCUUCGGGUUGUAAAGYACUUUCAGCGGGGAGGAAGGGMGKWAAGUUAAUACCUUUGYUCAUUGACGUUACCCRCAGAAGAAGCACCGGCUAACUBCGUGCCAGCAGCCGCGGUAAUACGRAGGGUGCAAGCGUUAAUCGGAAUUACUGGGCGUAAAGCGCRCGCAGGCGGUUUGUUAAGUCAGAUGUGAAAUCCCCGGGCUCAACCUGGGAACUGCAUCUGAUACUGGCRAGCUUGAGUMUSGUAGAGGGGGGURGAAUUYCAGGUGUAGCGGUGAAAUGCGUAGAKAUCUGRAGGAAUACCGGUGGCGAAGGCGRCCCCCUGGACKAAKACUGACGCUCAGGUGCGAAAGCGUGGGGAGCAAACAGGAUUAGAUACCCUGGUAGUCCACGCCGUAAACGAUGUCGACUUGSAGGUKGKGYCCUUGAGRYSUGRCUKCCGGAGCUAACGCGUUAAGUCGACCGCCUGGGGAGUACGGCCGCAAGGUUAAAACUCAAAUGAAUUGACGGGGGCCCGCACAAGCGGUGGAGCAUGUGGUUUAAUUCGAWGCAACGCGAAGAACCUUACCUGGYCUUGACAUSCACRGAASUUUUCAGAGAUGARWWKGUGCCUUCGGGAACYSUGASACAGGUGCUGCAUGGCUGUCGUCAGCUCGUGUUGUGAAAUGUUGGGUUAAGUCCCGCAACGAGCGCAACCCUURUCCUUUGUUGCCAGCG
rnacentral:rRNA from 1 species